GUUUGGAAUUUGAAUUCUUCAAAUAAUCUGCUGUCAGUUGCCACAAAAUAAGAAAAUAAAGAGGAAGGGCCACGUGAAGGACACAGCAGGAAGGCAGUCUGCAAUCCAGGAAGAGAGUGCUCACUAGAAACCAACCCUGGGACCACGAUCUUGGACUUCCAGCCUCCAGACUGUGAGAAAAUAAAUUUUGGUUUCUUCAGCCAGCCAGUCUGUGUUAUAUUGUUACGGCAGCCCCAGCAGACUACUACAAGUACCUAAUCGAUGAACCUGCACAGCUGCAGAGGAGCCAAAGAGAGAUGUGAUUCUGAUGAAUUUCUUCUAUCUGUACUACACUGAAGUUUCUACCUGAAGUAUGCAAGGACAAAGAAAUUCUGUUCUGUGGAGAAGAAAGAAACCUAGCUGUGAAAGAACCAUAAGUCUUCAAAAGGAACAAAAUGUAUUCCCCCGUUAAUUCUGCUAGUUUCAGAAGAGACAUAGGUGAGAUCUGUGAAUUCCCUAUGGAUCAAGAAUGCUUCUGG